UCCUACGGGAGGCAGCAGUGAGGAAUAUUGGUCAAUGGGCGGGAGCCUGAACCAGCCAAGUCGCGUGAGGGAAGACGGUCCUAUGGAUUGUAAACCUCUUUAGGCGGGGAGCAAUGCCGGGCACGCGUGCCCGGAGGGAGAGUACCCGCAGAAUAAGCAUCGGCUAACUCCGUGCCAGCAGCCGCGGUAAUACGGAGGAUGCGAGCGUUAUCCGGAUUUAUUGGGUCUAAAGGGUGCGUAGGCGGAUUUUUAAGUCAGCGGUAAAAUGUCCGGGCUCAACCCGGGCCAGCCGUUGAAACUGGGGG
rnacentral:rRNA from 1 species